rnacentral:rRNA from 1 species
CGGACAGAGCUGGCGUAUCUGGCCUGUAUUCAGCCGUGCGUCCGUUGGCGUCAGGGAUGCCGCUCUCCAGAUUGGGACGGUGGCCUGUCUGCUGGCGGAUGUGUGGUGCAUUUGCAGGUGGAGUGCGCUGAGGCACUCGGGUCAGCGGCAUGAGCUCAGUGUUGAGGCCAGCCCCUCACGGGGUCUGGUACCCGCAUUGUGGGGAGUGCUGUUUGUCCUGGGUGUGUGGAGGGCAAUGGUUUCGGGUUCGUGUGGGUGCCGAGCUGGCAGUCGGUGGCGGUCGCGUGCGACACGUGCCAGCGGUCAGUUCGGUCCUGCUCGAGCUCUCAUCUGCUCGUCCUCGGUGUAAAAGCCGGUCAUCUGUCCGACCCGUCUUGAAACACGGACCAAGGAGUUUAGCGUGUGCGCGAGUCAUUGGGCGUUGAAAACCCAAAGGCGCAAUGAAAGUGAAGGUCUCCCUUGCGGAGCUGAUGUGUGAUCCUGGGCACUGCGGUGCACACCGGGCGCAACAUAGUCCCGUCCCGAUCGCUUGCGAUGGGGCGGAGACAGAGCGUACGCGCUGAG